rnacentral:rRNA from 1 species
CCUACGGGUGGCAGCAGUCGAGAAUCAUUCACAAUGGGGGAAACCCUGAUGGUGCGACGCCGCGUGGGGGAAUGAAGGUCUUCGGAUUGUAAACCCCUGUCAUGUGGGAGCAAAUUAAAAAGAUAGUACCACAAGAGGAAGAGACGGCUAACUCUGUGCCAGCAGCCGCGGUAAUACAGAGGUCUCAAGCGUUGUUCGGAAUCACUGGGCGUAAAGCGUGCGUAGGCUGUUUCGUAAGUCGUGUGUGAAAGGCGCGGGCUCAACCCGCGGACGGCACAUGAUACUGCGAGACUAGAGUAAGGGAGGGGGAACCGGAAUUCUCGGUGUAGCAGUGAAAUGCGUAGAUAUCGAGAGGAACACUCGUGGCGAAGGCGGGUUCCUGGACAUUAACUGACGCUGAGGCACGAAGGCCAGGGGAGCGAAAGGGAUUAGAUACCCAAGUAGUC